GUGGGGAAUAUUGGGCAAUGGGGGCAACCCUGACCCAGCAACGCCGCGUGAGGGAAGAAGGUUUUCGGAUUGUAAACCUCUGUCCUAUGGGAAGAAGGAAGUGACGGUACCAUAGGAGGAAGCCCCGGCUAACUACGUGCCAGCAGCCGCGGUAAUACGUAGGGGGCGAGCGUUGUCCGGAAUUACUGGGCGUAAAGGGUGCGCAGGUGGCCUGACAAGUCAGAUGUGAAAUACCGAUGCUUAACGUCGGGGCUGCAUUUGAAACUAUGAGGCUGGAGUGCAGGAGAGGGAAGCGGAAUUCCUAGUGUAGCGGUGAAAUGCAUAGAUAUUAGGAGGAACACCAGUGGCGAAGGCGGCUUUCUGGACUGUAACUGACACUGAGGCACGAAAGCGUGGGGAGCAAACAGGAUUAGAUACCCCUGUAGUCC
rnacentral:rRNA from 1 species